rnacentral:lncRNA from 1 species
UACGCGUGUUUCUUGCACUUAUGGUACGAAACAUUCUCCUGCAUUACAGCGGCGUCCAGAUGGGAAAUCCGUCUGCUGAGACGUAUCCCAUUUCGCUUCCUUGCUGCUUCGAGAUGCGACCGUUGGUAUAUAUAAAGGCCCGCGAGCACCUAGAUUCUACCGACCUAUAUUCAAGGUGUUGGCUCAAGACAGUAGCUCCAUUUUCCGACGAGGCGAUAUGAAGGUGCUUGUGAUCGCUCUAAUCUUCACGCUGGUGUGUGGCAUUCUCGCCACCGCUUCUCUCAAUGAAGACAAAAGCGAAGUCGCCCACUUGAGAGUUCG